rnacentral:rRNA from 1 species
GAUGAACGCUGGCGGCGUGCCUAAUACAUGCAAGUCGAGCGAACGGACGCGAAGCUUGCUUCUCUGAUGUUAGCGGCGGACGGGUGAGUAACACGUGGAUAACCUACCUAUCAGACUGGGAUAACUUCGGGAAACCGUAGCUAAUACCGGAUAAUAUUUUGAACCGCAUGGUUCAAAAGUGAAAGACGGCCUUGCUGUCACUUAUAGAUGGAUCCGCGCUGCAUUAGCUAGUUGGUAAGGUAACGGCUUACCAAGGCAACGAUGCAUAGCCGACCUGAGAGGGGGAUCGGCCACACUGGAACUGAGACGCGGUCCAGACGCCUACGGGAGGCAGCAGUAGGGAAUCUUCCGCAAUAGGCGAAAGCCUGACGGAGCAACGCCGCGUGAGUGAUGAAGGUCUUCGGAUCGUAAAACUCUGUUAUUAGGGAAGAACAUAUGUGUAAGUAACUGUGCACAUCUUGACGGUACCUAAUCAGAAAGCCACGGCUAACUACGUG